CGCCGUUCCUGGGAUUCUCCAGGCAAGAACGCUGGAGUGGGUUGCCAUUUCUGGGUUGAUGCUCUCACUUUCUUUCAAUGAGGGACGUCAAGUCUCUAGUGAUUCUGAAGUUGUUUCAUAUGCAGAGUUUGGGACUAAAGUUAAAAAGCGUCACUGUCUGAAAUUGAAGGUCAAAGAGUUGUAAAACUGAUAAGGACAACCUAGGUCUGGUUUGUUAACGUGGCCGUAGUGAAAGGAAAGUUAUCUUCCAAGUCUGAUGGGCCUGUGUGUUCUGUGAUUUCACCAGAUCCGGAUGUUUCUCAAAACCAGAGUGUGGCUAUAGUAUUGAUAAAAGAAAACUUGACAGAUUAUAUUGAUUUUUGAGGUUAGUCUUGAAUAUGUUAUUGGAAAGGUGUACUUUAUGUAGACCCUUGAAGAUGAGGACAUAAAGUGUGGACAGCGCUGUCCUGGCGAGGGUGAUCCUCUGUGCAACAUGGCGACUCCCAGCACUGUAAAUAGAGUGCUGGAGAUGAGGACUGUCCUGGAAAUUCCAGAGUCGUUGAUUUUGGUAUUUAUUUUCCCGUUGUUUCAGGUUGUUGACUUGAGGCAUCUAACUUCCUUAAGUGUUGAGCCUCAUUUCACUGAACAGCAUUCUCGUGGUGACUUGUUUUCCAUGUAGAUCUUCCCAUCUGGGAAGAGGGUGCUUUGAGCUGCAGACACUGAAUGCUCUGAUUUUACUCUAAGUUAAUGGUUCUCAUUGUGACAAUAAUUUGGCACUGGUUAGUAUGAGUUAUUAAUAGUUCCCCAGGGCAGGUCCUCUAAGGCUAGUUGAUAGAAUUUAGUUCCGUUACGAGUUAUGACAAACCUAGGCAGCAUAUUAUAAAUAAGAGACAUUGCUUUGCUGACAAAAUGGACCUUUGUUGGCAAAGUAAUGUCUCUGCUUUUUAAUAUGCCAUCUAGGUUGGUCAUAACUUUUCUUCCAAGGAGCAAGCGUCUUUUAAUUUCAUGGCUGCAAUUACCAUCUGCAGUGAUUUUGGAGCCCCCCAAAAUAAAGUCUGUCUCUGUUUCCAUUGUUUCCUCAUCUAUUUG
ensembl:lncRNA